GCGGCAGCGUCGGGCUCAGGCUGGGGCUCACGACGCUGAUAAAGCGGGUGCCGUCAGCCUUCGAGUCCUCCAUGCGGCUGUCAUCGAUGUCCAUCGUCUCCCAGAGGUGAACAACUCUGGCUCAGAGAUGCUUGGUGGUUUAUCUCAGCCCAGAACUAGUUGGUGGCAGCUUGUGGACUGGAACUCAAGUGACCUAGUUCCCAGGGCAAGGUUAUCUUCAGAAUCCUGCAAAAAUUCCAGGUCUGACACUUGAAGAAGGAGCUUUUCCCUUAAACAUCCAGGGCACAAAGUACCUGAAAGGGGGUGUGCUUUUUCCCUAGACAUUGGAGCUACUUGCCCAUCUGACCAGGUGAUAUGGCUUUGAAAAGAGACAUCCCUAGGAAUUCCCAGGUGCCUCGUACAUGCCCUCAGGAAGUCUGCUAGAAUGAAUGGAUGGCUCCAAAUUCCUCCCCUGCCUGUAGCUAUACUCCUUUGCAUAACUUGGCUACUUUCUUUCAAGAGGUGGAGUCCACUUCUCCGCUCCUUGAAUCUGGGUUUGGUCAUGUGAUUUUCUUUGGCCAAUGGGGCAUUAGCAAACAUGAUGUAAGAGGAAGCCCAAAAGCACCUUCGCAUUGGGGGGCUUGUCUGCUUUUGCUGCCGGGAACCCUGAGGUCACCAUGUGGAGAAGCCUGGGCUAGUCACCUGGAGAAUGUGAGACUGUGUAGCUGAGCGCCCUUGCACCCACCAGUCUGCCAACCUGCCAAAUGUGAAUGAGAGCUCUAGCCAAUCCACCUGCUGGCCACGGGAGGAACCAGCUGGCCCAGAUGAAAGAACUGCACAGCUGAACCACAGAAUUGAGGUGAAUGGGCAUCUCUACAUUGUCCCAGCCUGAAGGUGUCUGAGGAUGCCCGUCCA